UCGGAGGUCUCUUCCAACCUAGAAAUUCUGUGAUUCUGUGACUGUGUGCAGUGGCACUGGGGGCUGGGUGGGCCGGGGUCCCAGCUGAGCGGAGGGCACAGCUCUCUGGGCAACACAGCCACUUCCAGACAGCCACAGCUGAGGACGUGGGCCCCUGAAUUAACAGAAAACGCCGCUCGUUUCUCACUCAGUACCGGAUAGCAGCGGAAAAGCAAGCGGGCAGGAUUCUGCCGGGCUGGCUUUGUCUCUGGCUGGGGCAGUCCCUGGGAAAUCCGGCACUGCCCCGCGGGGCGGCUGCUGUACUGGCCCACAGGGCGCGGAAGCACUGCGAAUGGGAACGGGGGUCCCGGGAGCAGCAAUCAGGGAAGGAAGCACCGGGCCCGGGACGCUCACAGAUGAGACAGGAAGGGAUUACACAUAUCCCACCACCCUGAGCACGCAUCUCCCUCAAACAAAGCCGUUCCUGCCGCUGCAUGGACAGGGCUGGGAAGGGGCUCCCAGCUGCUCUGGGAAUGCUGCGGAUCACUUUCCUUUCCCACUGUCAGCACCUGCUUAGAGGUUACUGACUAUGACCUUUGGGGUAACCCUGUACCACAGCUUUACUGUCCUGAGAAAGAGAUGGGGAUGAUAAAACAGUGCGAAGAUGCCGAGCCCCCCUGUGAUCCUCCAGCCCCAGCGGACACACAGCCUUGCUGAGCUCUGGGUAUUUGCAGCGGAGCCGAGUCCCCUGAGGGCAGCCUGCGUGCACUCUCUCCCAUCAAACUAGAGACCAAGGCAGGAAUAAUAUGAACAUAUAUUUUUAGCAGCAGCAAAUUAUUUCUCUUACAGAGGGAAUAUUUCCAUGCUGGGCUUUUUCCCUUCCCUUAUCACAGAUUGUAUAUUUAGAGCGUGAGAACUCUACCUCGCACAAACAAACGCUGCCAGGCCACCGUGCUCAGUGAGGGAGCUGCUUCUGGCCUCUCUGACAUGCCCCUUUUUCGGACAAACCCCAAUCUUUGCUCCACAAGUGGGAAAUGUCAAAGAGAGAGCUGAGUUUGGGACAAAUGUGGACAGGAAGUGAAAAUGCACUCCAGAGAGUUAUCAAUCAGCACAUUAGUGAAACCGUAGCUGCAAACAGCGGAGCUGUACGAAACCCGAGGCAGACCCUGAGCCCUGCUGCAGGGACGAGCAGCUCCUUUGGUGCAGCAGAGCAGACUUCACCGCUUCCCCUUUGGCUACAGGUGCAAGCAGGAAUCCCAUGGGAUGGCUGGAACGAUCGGGGACAUCCCCAGGGCUAUCUGGCUGCUAAAACACAUCUUACUUGCCAACAGAGACUCUCACCCAGAGAGUGGCUUUAUAGGCUGUGCUGAACACAGUGCAUGAAAGAAAGUCCCUGACAGAUUAAACCCCUGCCUAGCAAAUAUGCAAGUGCCAGGCUGACAGAGAAGUGUUCAAACUACUGCAGCCUCUUAUUUUCACUCUGCUUCCCCAUUCCUCUUGCACAUCACAGACUGCUCAGGCAAGCUCUGAUACCCUGCCCCACCACCCUGCGCCACCAUCCUGCCUCUGAGCUGCUGCUCCGGUGCUGCUCUCUGGCAGAGAACACGCAAAAGGCAGAAAAGCCCAGGCUCACAGCUAUGCAAGCUUCUCAUUCCUAGAGAGGAGGCUGAUUUCACAGGCUGUCCGUGGCAAACAUCCCUGCGAUUUUUACAGUUUGUCAUGGAUGAGCCGAGGAGAAAAUGUUAUGCAUGGUGGUGAAUCUGUGUGCUCUGCUUGGCCAGGGGGUGAAGCGACUCAGUUACUCCUGGCUGACAGGGCCCAGAGCACUCCCUGCAGCCUCUCUAACUCAGAUUUAACGCAUUUCAAACAAAAAUGCAUCAAAUGCUGUAUUUCCACACUGAACAUGGGGAUUUCAUGGUCUGUAUGACUUUCAUGACAUCAAGAUUGAUACGGACUCUUAAUCAUAGGUAACAGUUGCUAGAUGAAGCUGCAGGGUGAAGGCUUGUUAUGCCAGAGGCCAGCCUGCAUUUUCUGCUCUCAGACUUGCUCUGUUCAUUUUCCCUACACCUCUGCCUGGGCUAGCAGCCCUCCCAACAAGAACAAAACAUCAAGUCAUUGGGCUUUUUGCAAAUCACAGCACCAUGCCUUCUGACCUGCACCAAGAUAACCAGAACAGCAGCAUGGGAACGGAAACACAUUUGACUGCCUAAAUACUCACAAUUUGUGGUCAGAGACAGUGUCUCGUAGCAGCAAGUUGCUUACACAUUCAUGAGAUCCCACAGUGGUAAAUGCACUGAGAAGCAAUGAUGCACCAAGGAAAUGAUGCACCAAAGAUGGGUGAGCUUCACCCACAGCAGCCCUGAGUCAAGCAUCCAGGCUCUGGCCAUUGCCUCUGCAGCCUCCUGUACCCGAGGGGAGGCUCAUUCUGGAGGCACCACAUGCAGCAGAAGGUGGAAGCAGGCAAGUAAGGCAAGAAGGAAGAAGCCUUAGAAAGUUCAAUCCAGCUGCUUUCCACUGCUGCAGUCUCAUCAUGGUUAUUUUUUUUUUUUUGGGAUUUUCUGGGAACUCCCAACUUCUUGUCUAUAAGCACAUUUUGAGAGCAAGUAAGUCCACAGCCUAAUGCCUUCAGCUUCUGGGCUUAUAUCCUGCUGGCUGAACCGUUCUCCACUCACACUCCAGCCAUACAGCACAAGUCUAACAGCAGGAAAACUCUUGCUGUGAAAUGACACUUGAGCUCUGAGCCUCUGCAAAUCCUGAAGAGCUGUGAUGAACUCACAAGUCAUUUGUUUUAUCACAGACUAAAAUCUCUCUUAACAAACAGGUUUUCUGAAAUAAGGAAGAAAUUAUGAACUGGUUUCAGCACAGCCAGGCAGCUUAACCUCCUCGCCAAGCUGAAAGUCCCACAAAGUGCUGAGUGGGUCACAGAUGCUCUGCCAGAAGCUGGUGGAUUGAGACAGGAUCUGUAGGAGGUCACUCAUAUCCCCAAGUGCCUCAGGACUGGUGGAGGAAGUCCUGGAGAUGUCCGUGUCUCUACCAGGAGUUUACACCACCUGCCCAGCUGUUAGAAGUUAAGGCUGGAGACAUGAACGUCACCACAAGGACCCCAGAUAUGCUACUCAAUGUCAAAGGCAGUCCCUGUGCUGACUUUGAAAGGACCUCAGAUGGGCCUCAGGAGAGAAACAUUUCAUGUCAGCACUCACAGUUCCUUUGUGUACUCAGACCAAACUACCUAUCAAACUUGUAUAGACCCAGGGGCUCCCAGAGGCCCCUUCCAACCUCAGCUGUAGGAAUCUACACAAUUUUCCUCCUUUUCUUCUUAUAUGCUUUUGAGGACAAAUACAGUGAGCUCAGCAGCAGCAGCAAAGCAGGCAGAUUUUCCAUCCUUCUGGGGCUGAGACGCUGCCGGGGUGGGUGGGAAGCAGCAGGGUGCCGUGUUCAGCCCCUCCGAGCAGCGCGCCACGGACAGAGCAGCGCCUGCAAUGGCCAAAGCAGGUGCUUGGACUUGCAGCUACUGCAUGGCUCUGAAAUAUCCGGUGUGAUGUUGGGAACACAAAACAAAACAAAAAUCCAAAGUGACAAUUUAGAUAAAGAGAGUAAAGUGAUAAAUAAUGGGCAGGUUACCAAAGUCUGGAGAGCUUAUAUGUACGGGAAAGUGGCUGUCCCACCUGUGGAACAAGACUUGGACACUUUUGGUGAUCACUGAGCUAUCAGCACAAUUUACACAUAAAGGGACCAUGACUGAGCACCCUAACUAUUCUGAUUUAUGCAAUUAAUAUAUGCUAUCAGAUUUUAAAUGCUCUAAA